rnacentral:rRNA from 1 species
CACGUAGGGCGCAAGCGUUGUCCGGAAUUAUUGGGCGUAAAGAGCUCGUAGGCGGUCCGUCACGUCCGCUGUGAAAACUCAGGGCUUAACCCUGAGCCUGCUUCCGAUACGGGCAGACUAGAGGUAUGCAGGGGAGAACGGAAUUCCUGGUGUAGCGGUGGAAUGCGCAGAUAUCAGGAGGAACACCGGUGGCGAAGGCGGGUCUCUGGGCAGUAACUGACGCUGAGGAGCGAAAGCGUGGGGAGCGAACAGG